rnacentral:rRNA from 1 species
UUUUACAUUCAUGCAAGCCUGAGUGCACCUGGUCUCAUCUGAUUUCAGAAGCUAAGCAUGAUCGAGCUUGACUAGUAUUUAAAAA